rnacentral:rRNA from 1 species
GAUGAACGCUAGCGACAGGCCUAACACAUGCAAGUCGAGGGGCAGCGGGGAGCGAAGCUUGCUUUGCUCCGCCGGCGACCGGCGCACGGGUGAGUAACGCGUAUGCAACCUGCCCGUUUCAGCGGGAUAACCCGGAGAAAUCCGGCCUAAUACCGCAUGUGGCCGAGGGGAGGCAUCUUCUUUCGGCCAAAGGAGGCGACUCCGGAGACGGAUGGGCAUGCGGGACAUUAGCGUGUUGGCGGGGUAACGGCCCACCAAGGCGACGAUGUCUAGGGGUUCUGAGAGGAAGGUCCCCCACACUGGUACUGAGACACGGACCAG